AGGUGCUCCUCAAGGCUGCAGUCAGAGUUUCUGUGCAGCACAGGACUAAUUAUGAAGUUAGCUCAGGAAUAAACGUCUUUUUCCAACCGUCCGUUAAAACCAACGUCUUGUUGGGGUUGAUCCGUUGGACGACGCCGAGAUUAACUGGGAGGCAAAGAGGCAGAACUAUCAACAUGGCGGUGGACGUGGCUCUACAGAAACCUAUGGGUGAUGUCAAGCAUACGCCAUCCAUACGCCAUCCAUUAUUUGUACUGUCAGUG